rnacentral:rRNA from 1 species
AGUUAACGCGAUAAGUCGACCGCCUGGGGAGUACGGCCGCAAGGUUAAAACUCAAAUGAAUUGACGGGGGCCCGCACAAGCGGUGGAGCAUGUGGUUUAAUUCGAUGCAACGCGAAGAACCUUACCUACCCUUGACAUCCAGAGAAGUUGGCAGAGAUGCCUUCGUGCCUUCGGGAGCUCUGAGACAGGUGCUGCAUGGCUGUCGUCAGCUCGUGUUGUGAAAUGUUGGGUUAAGUCCCGUAACGAGCGCAACCCUUGUCCUUAUUUGCCAGCGAGUAAAGUCGGGAACUCUAAGGAGACUGCCGGUGACAAACCGGAGGAAGGUGGGGACGACGUCAAGUCAUCAUGGCCCUUACGGGUAGGGCUACACACGUGCUACAAUGGCCGGUACAAAGGGUUGCGAGACCGCGAGGUGGAGCGAAUCCCAGAAAGCCGGCCUCAGUCCGGAUCGGAGUCUGCAACUCGACUCCGUGAAGUCGGAAUCGCUAGUAAUCGUGAAUCAGAAUGUCACGGUGAAUACGUUCCCGGGCCUUGUACACACCGCCCGUCACACCAUGGGAGUGGACUGCACCAGAAGUGGUUAGCUUAACCUUCGGGAGAGCGAUCACCACGGUGUGGUUCAUGACUGGGGUGAAGUCGUAACAAGGUAGCCGUAGGGGAACCUGCGGCUG